GUAAAAUUUCUUUUGUAGAGACAGUGAUCUUGCUUUGUGGCCCAGGCUGGUCUCGAACUCCUGGCCUCAAGGAAUCCUCCUGCGUGGGUCUUCUAAAGAUUCAGCUGCUUUUGGAUCAACCGAUCGCCUUAAGACCCUUUAACUCGAACAACUGUCACAUCCUCGGAUCCGCGAAGGGCUGAAACUCAAAGAGUUUUUGAAGCGUCCCUCGGCGCAGUGGCUCCGCUCCACCUCCCAUUCGCGCUACCACCGCGGUCGCAGCGCCAGGAUCGCCAGGGGGCCAGCGUCGCUCUCCCGCUGCUGCGCGCCGGAAGCCGGAAGCAGGGACUGAGCCACAGACUAGGAAAGGCAGGCUUCUCCGGGGCUCCCCAGUGCCCUAGCUUUAGCCUGGAGGCCGCCCUCUUCUAUUUGCUCUUAGACGUCACGGGGGCACCCCAGUCCCCUCGACCCUUUGGAUCCGGCUCACAUUUCCUCCGGUGAAGAGCCAAAGGCCCCGGAAGUGACGUUUGCACGGCUUGCGUAUCGUGCGUGCGCAGGCCGCGCCGGGGGCGGGGCUAGCAGGAGGGUGUGUGUGGGGCGGGAGCGGACAACGGAGACCAGACCUACUGCAGCCACGCGGGCGAGCGGCUGUGUGGAUGUCGGCGAAGCCGCGGGCGAGCCUGCCCCUCCUGUGACUUCCCCGUCUCGGGAAAUGGCACCAUCAUCAUCUACCUGGUGGCUCCGGCCAGAAAACAGGGAGGCAUCUUUGGAUCAUCUCACCCUCACCACCCACACCCGGGCCACCACCAAGACUCUUCAAUUCUACCUCCAAAAUAAAUCCCUACCCCACUUCCCUCUGUUCUCGUUGCCACCCCUGUGUCAAGCCAUCACCAGCUUGGCCCUGGAGGCCAGCACAGCCUCCUUCCCGCCUCCCUGCCUCCUCUCUACCCCCAACAGCCAGAAUAACUUGCAGAAAAUGUAAAUCAGGCCCCAUCUCAUUCUCCUUCUUAAACCGCCCCUUUCCCCAAGGGCUUCCUAUUGCAUUUGCACCAAAAUCGACACCCCCCAAAUAGCUCUGAGGUUCACCAUGACCUGGUGCUGCCUCACCUCCUCCAAUUUCACUGUCCCCUAGUUCUUUUCCCCUGGAAUCUGUGUGUUUGCAUAAGCUGUUCCCUUUGCCUGGAUGCUCUUCCCUGCAAUUCUUUCCCCACUGGUCCCUUCUCAUACUUUAGGUCUCAGCUGGGAGCUUACUUAAACUUUUUUGUUUGAGAUGGAGUCUCAUGCUGUCACCCAGGCUGGGUGACAUAGUACCUAGAAGAGGAGAUGACAUAUUGAUGGAAUUUAAUAAAUGGGCUUAUUGAAUGAGAUGAUUUUUUUUUUUUUUUUUUUUUUUUUUUUUUUGGCUAGAGGACACAAAGACAGCCAGAGAAAUUCCAAAUAACACACACUGGCUGGAUGAAAUUGCUUCAGUGAUAGAUAUUUAAACAAUUUUUAUUUUUAGCUGGGCGCGGUGGCUCACACCUGUAAUCCAAGCACUUUGGGAGGCCAAGGCGGGUGGAUCUCUUGAGGCCAGGGGUUCAAGACCAGCUCACUACAGCAUGAUGAAACCCCAUCUCUACUAAAAAUACAAAAGUUAGCUGGGUGUGGUGGCUCGCGCCUGUAAUCCCAGCUACUCAGGAAGCUGAGAUAGGAGAAUCGCUUGAACCCGGGAAGCAGAGGUUGCAGUGAGCCGAGAUGGCGCCACUACACUCCAGCCUGGGUGAUAGAGCAAGAUUCCGUCUCAAAAAACAAAACAAAAUUUUAUUUUUAUUUAUUUAAUACACAUACGUAUACACACACACACACACACACACACACACACAUAUGUGCUCUGAUGCACUGGAGCUUCCACUGGUCUUACUUAAUGUGUGUGAUACUCUCAUUAUUUAUGUAUCUAUAUAUAUCUAUAUCUAUAUUUAUAUAUAUAUAUAGAGAGAGAGAUAGAGAGAUGGGAUCUUGCUGUGUUGCCCAGACUGUCUCAAGCUCCUGGCCUUGGGCAAUCUUCCCACCUUGGCCUCCCAAAAUGCUGGUAUUACAGUAUUUAAUUUUUAGGUGUUUUUUGUUUUUUCGGGGGCUGCAUUUUUGGAGAUAGGGUCUUGCUAUGUUGCCCCGGGUGGAAUGUAGUGGCUGUUCACCAGUGCCAUCAUAGCUCACUGCAUCCUUAAACUCCUGGCUCAAGCAGUCUUCUCCCCUCAGCCUCCUGAAUAGCUGGGACUACAGGCAUGUGCCACCACACCUGGCUAUCCUACGCAAUAUGAGACCAGGAAGUUGUCAUCUGUGUGGAGAGGAAUAAGUGUAAUCCCACAUAGGGGGGUAGUCUAAAACAACAUGGAGAGUACCUUUAGACCUGGAUUUCGGGGCUCAGCCUUGCCAUGGGAAGGAGGCAUGGUGUGUAGCAGUGGUUACCAGACUUCUUUCAGUAGUUUAAAGCAA
rnacentral:lncRNA from 1 species